GGGUUGUGAGGUUAAGCGACUAAGCGUACACGGUGGAUGCCCUGGCAGUCAGAGGCGAUGAAGGACGUGCUAAUCUGCGAUAAGCGUCGGUAAGGUGAUAUGAACCGUUAUAACCGGCGAUUUCCGAAUGGGGAAACCCAGUGUGUUUCGACACACUAUCAUUAACUGAAUCCAUAGGUUAAUGAGGCGAACCGGGGGAACUGAAACAUCUAAGUACCCCGAGGAAAAGAAAUCAACCGAGAUUCCCCCAGUAGCGGCGAGCGAACGGGGAGGAGCCCAGAGCCUGAAUCAGUGUGUGUGUUAGUGGAAGCGUCUGGAAAGGCGCGCGAUACAGGGUGACAGCCCCGUACACAAAAAUGCACAUACUGUGAGCUCGAUGAGUAGGGCGGGACACGUGGUAUCCUGUCUGAAUAUGGGGGGACCAUCCUCCAAGGCUAAAUACUCCUGACUGACCGAUAGUGAACCAGUACCGUGAGGGAAAGGCGAAAAGAACCCCGGCGAGGGGAGUGAAAAAGAACCUGAAACCGUGUACGUACAAGCAGUGGGAGCCUCUUUUAUGGGGUGACUGCGUACCUUUUGUAUAAUGGGUCAGCGACUUAUAUUCUGUAGCAAGGUUAACCGAAUAGGGGAGCCGAAGGGAAACCGAGUCUUAACUGGGCGUUAAGUUGCAGGGUAUAGACCCGAAACCCGGUGAUCUAGCCAUGGGCAGGUUGAAGGUUGGGUAACACUAACUGGAGGACCGAACCGACUAAUGUUGAAAAAUUAGCGGAUGACUUGUGGCUGGGGGUGAAAGGCCAAUCAAACCGGGAGAUAGCUGGUUCUCCCCGAAAGCUAUUUAGGUAGCGCCUCGUGAAUUCAUCUCCGGGGUAGAGCACUGUUUCGGCAAGGGGGUCAUCCCGACUUACCAACCCGAUGCAAACUGCGAAUACCGGAGAAUGUUAUCACGGGAGACACACGGCGGGUGCUAACGUCCGUCGUGAAGAGGGAAACAACCCAGACCGCCAGCUAAGGUCCCAAAGUCAUGGUUAAGUGGGAAACGAUGUGGGAAGGCCCAGACAGCCAGGAUGUUGGCUUAGAAGCAGCCAUCAUUUAAAGAAAGCGUAAUAGCUCACUGGUCGAGUCGGCCUGCGCGGAAGAUGUAACGGGGCUAAACCAUGCACCGAAGCUGCGGCAGCGACGCUUAUGCGUUGUUGGGUAGGGGAGCGUUCUGUAAGCCUGUGAAGGUGUACUGUGAGGCAUGCUGGAGGUAUCAGAAGUGCGAAUGCUGACAUAAGUAACGAUAAAGCGGGUGAAAAGCCCGCUCGCCGGAAGACCAAGGGUUCCUGUCCAACGUUAAUCGGGGCAGGGUGAGUCGACCCCUAAGGCGAGGCCGAAAGGCGUAGUCGAUGGGAAACAGGUUAAUAUUCCUGUACUUGGUGUUACUGCGAAGGGGGACGGAGAAGGCUAUGUUGGCCGGGCGACGGUUGUCCCGGUUUAAGCGUGUAGGCUGGUUUUCCAGGCAAAUCCGGAAAAUCAAGGCUGAGGCGUGAUGACGAGGCACUACGGUGCUGAAGCAACAAAUGCCCUGCUUCCAGGAAAAGCCUCUAAGCAUCAGGUAACAUCAAAUCGUACCCCAAACCGACACAGGUGGUCAGGUAGAGAAUACCAAGGCGCUUGAGAGAACUCGGGUGAAGGAACUAGGCAAAAUGGUGCCGUAACUUCGGGAGAAGGCACGCUGAUAUGUAGGUGAAGCGACUUGCUCGUGGAGCUGAAAUCAGUCGAAGAUACCAGCUGGCUGCAACUGUUUAUUAAAAACACAGCACUGUGCAAACACGAAAGUGGACGUAUACGGUGUGACGCCUGCCCGGUGCCGGAAGGUUAAUUGAUGGGGUUAGCGGUAACGCGAAGCUCUUGAUCGAAGCCCCGGUAAACGGCGGCCGUAACUAUAACGGUCCUAAGGUAGCGAAAUUCCUUGUCGGGUAAGUUCCGACCUGCACGAAUGGCGUAAUGAUGGCCAGGCUGUCUCCACCCGAGACUCAGUGAAAUUGAACUCGCUGUGAAGAUGCAGUGUACCCGCGGCAAGACGGAAAGACCCCGUGAACCUUUACUAUAGCUUGACACUGAACAUUGAGCCUUGAUGUGUAGGAUAGGUGGGAGGCUUUGAAGUGUGGACGCCAGUCUGCAUGGAGCCGGCCUUGAAAUACCACCCUUUAAUGUUUGAUGUUCUAACGUUGGCCCCUGAUCGGGGUUGCGGACAGUGUCUGGUGGGUAGUUUGACUGGGGCGGUCUCCUCCUAAAGAGUAACGGAGGAGCACGAAGGUUGGCUAAUCCUGGUCGGACAUCAGGAGGUUAGUGCAAUGGCAUAAGCCAGCUUGACUGCGAGCGUGACGGCGCGAGCAGGUGCGAAAGCAGGUCAUAGUGAUCCGGUGGUUCUGAAUGGAAGGGCCAUCGCUCAACGGAUAAAAGGUACUCCGGGGAUAACAGGCUGAUACCGCCCAAGAGUUCAUAUCGACGGCGGUGUUUGGCACCUCGAUGUCGGCUCAUCACAUCCUGGGGCUGAAGUAGGUCCCAAGGGUAUGGCUGUUCGCCAUUUAAAGUGGUACGCGAGCUGGGUUUAGAACGUCGUGAGACAGUUCGGUCCCUAUCUGCCGUGGGCGCUGGAGAACUGAGGGGGGCUGCUCCUAGUACGAGAGGACCGGAGUGGACGCAUCACUGGUGUUCGGGUUGUCAUGCCAAUGGCACUGCCCGGUAGCUAAAUGCGGAAGAGAUAAGUGCUGAAAGCAUCUAAGCACGAAACUUGCCCCGAGAUGAGUUCUCCCUGAGACUUUAAGUCUCCUGAAGGAACGUUGAAGACGACGACGUUGAUAGGCCGGGUGUGUAAGCGCAGCGAUGCGUUGAGCUAACCGGUACUAAUGAACCGUGAGGCUUAACCUUACAACGCCGAAGGUGUUU
rnacentral:rRNA from 1 species